rnacentral:rRNA from 1 species
CGCCUUGCCAGCCCGCUCAGAAACUUAAAGGAAUUGACGGGGGCCCGCACAAGCGGUGGAGCAUGUGGUUUAAUUCGAUGAUACGCGAGGAACCUUACCUGGGCUCAAAUGUAUGUUGACGUAUUCUGAAAGGGAUACUUCUUCGGACAAUAUACAAGGUGCUGCAUGGUUGUCGUCAGCUCGUGCCGUGAGGUGUCGGGUUAAGUCCCAUAAACGAGCGCAACCCCUAUCAUUAGUUGCCAUCAGGUCAAGCUGGGGACUCUAAUGAAACUGCCUACGCAAGUAGUGAGGAAGGUGGGGAUGACGUCAAAUCAGCACGGCCCUUACGUCCAGGGCUACACACGUGCUACAAUGGUCGGUACAAAGGGUUGCCAAGCCGCGAGGUGGAGCUAAUCCCAUAAAACCGAUCGUAGUCCGGAUCGCAGUCUGCAACUCGACUGCGUGAAGUCGGAAUCGCUAGUAAUCGUGAAUCAGAAUGUCACGGUGAAUACGUUCCCGGGCCUU